GGACUACCCGGGUAUCUAAUCCUGUUUGCUCCCCACGCUUUCGUGCCUCAGUGUCAGUGUUGGUCCAGGUAGCUGCCUUCGCCAUGGAUGUUCCUCCUGAUCUCUACGCAUUUCACUGCUACACCAGGAAUUCCGCUACCCUCUACCACACUCUAGUCGUCCAGUUUCCACUGCAGUUCCCAGGUUGAGCCCAGGGCUUUCACAACAGACUUAAACAACCACCUACGCACGCUUUACGCCCAGUAAUUCCGAGUAACGCUUGCACCCUUCGUAUUACCGCGGCUGCUGGCAC
rnacentral:rRNA from 1 species